UACGAAGGGGGCUAGCGUUGUUCGGAAUCACUGGGCGUAAAGCGCUUGUAGGCGGAUCGUUAAGUCAGGGGUGAAAUCCCGAGGCUCAACCCCGGAACUGCCUUUGAUACUGGUAGUCUUGAGUUCGAGAGAGGUGAGUGGAAUUCCGAGUGUAGAGGUGAAAUUCGUAGAUAUUCGGAGGAACACCAGUGGCGAAGGCGGCUCACUGGCUCGAUACUGACGCUGAGGUGCGAAAGCGUGGGGAGCGAACAGG
rnacentral:rRNA from 1 species